AGUCGAACGGUGAACUUGGGAGCUUGCUUCCGGGGGAUCAGUGGCGAACGGGUGAGUAACACGUGAGUAACCUGCCCCAGACUCUGGGAUAAGCGUUGGAAACGACGUCUAAUACCGGAUACGAGCUUCAGCCGCAUGGCUAGGAGUUGGAAAGAAUUUUGGUCUGGGAUGGACUCGCGGCCUAUCAGCUAGUUGGUGAGGUAAUGGCUCACCAAGGCGACGACGGGUAGCCGGCCUGAGAGGGUGACCGGCCACACUGGGACUGAGACACGGCCCAGACUCCUACGGGAGGCAGCAGUGGGGAAUAUUGCACAAUGGGCGAAAGCCUGAUGCAGCAACGCCGCGUGAGGGACGACGGCCUUCGGGUUGUAAACCUCUUUUAGUAGGGAAGAAGCGAAAGUGACGGUACCUGCAGAAAAAGCACCGGCUAACUACGUGCCAGCAGCCGCGGUAAUACGUAGGGUGCAAGCGUUAUCCGGAAUUAUUGGGCGUAAAGAGCUCGUAGGCGGUUUGUCGCGUCUGCUGUGAAAACCCGAGGCUCAACCUCGGGCCUGCAGUGGGUACGGGCAGACUAGAGUGCGGUAGGGGAGAUUGGAAUUCCUGGUGUAGCGGUGGAAUGCGCAGAUAUCAGGAGGAACACCGAUGGCGAAGGCAGAUCUCUGGGCCGUUACUGACGCUGAGGAGCGAAAGCAUGGGGAGCGAACAGGAUUAGAUACCCUGGUAGUCCAUGCCGUAAACGUUGGGAACUAGAUGUAGGGACCAUUCCACGGUUUCUGUGUCGCAGCUAACGCAUUAAGUUCCCCGCCUGGGGAGUACGGCCGCAAGGCUAAAACUCAAAGGAAUUGACGGGGGCCCGCACAAGCGGCGGAGCAUGCGGAUUAAUUCGAUGCAACGCGAAGAACCUUACCAAGGCUUGACAUAUACCGGAAAAGUUCAGAAAUGUUCUCCCCGCAAGGUCGGUAUACAGGUGGUGCAUGGUUGUCGUCAGCUCGUGUCGUGAGAUGUUGGGUUAAGUCCCGCAACGAGCGCAACCCUCGUUCUAUGUUGCCAGCACGUAAUGGUGGGAACUCAUAGGAGACUGCCGUGGUCAACACGGAGGAAGGUGGGGAUGACGUCAAAUCAUCAUGCCCCUUAUGUCUUGGGCUUCACGCAUGCUACAAUGGCCGAUACAAAGGGCUGCAAUACCGCGAGGUGGAGCGAAUCCCAAAAAGUCGGUCUCAGUUCGGAUUGAGGUCUGCAACUCGACCUCAUGAAGUCGGAGUCGCUAGUAAUCGCAGAUCAGCAACGCUGCGGUGAAUACGUUCCCGGGCCUUGUACACACCGCCCGUCAAGUCAUGAAAGUCGGUAACACCCGAAGCCAGUGGCCUAACCGCAAGGAAGGAGCUGUCGAAGGUGGGAUCGGUAAUUAGGACUAAGUCG
rnacentral:rRNA from 1 species